GACGAACGCUGGCGGCGUGCCUAAUACAUGCCAGUAGAACGCUGAAGCGAGGAGCUUGCUCUUCUUGGAUGAGUUGCGAACGGGUGAGUAACGCGUAGGUAACCUGCCUUGUAGCGGGGGAUAACUAUUGGAAACGAUAGCUAAUACCGCAUAACAAUGGAUGACACAUGUCAUUUAUUUGAAAGGGGCAAUUGCUCCACUACAAGAUGGACCUGCGUUGUAUUAGCUAGUAGGUGAGGUAAUGGCUCACCUAGGCGACGAUACAUAGCCGACCUGAGAGGGUGAUCGGCCACACUGGGACUGAGACACGGCCCAGACUCCUACGGGAGGCAGCAGUAGGGAAUCUUCGGCAAUGGGGGCAACACUGACCGAGCAACGCCGCGUGAGUGAAGAAGGUUUUCGGAUCGUAAAGCUCUGUUGUAAGUCAAGAACGGGGGUGAGAGUGGAAAGUUCACACUGUGACGGUAGCUUACCAGAAAGGGACGGCUAACUACGUG
rnacentral:rRNA from 1 species